CACGUAGGCGGAUAUUUAAGUCAGGGGUGAAAUCCCAGAGCUCAACUCUGGAACUGCCUUUGAUACUGGGUAUCUUGAGUAUGGAGGAGGUAAGUGGAAUUCCGAGUGUAGAGGUGAAAUUCGUAGAUAUUCGGAGGAACACCAGUGGCGAAGGCGGCUUACUGGUCCAUUACUGACGCUGAGGUGCGAAAGCGUGGGGAGCAAACA
rnacentral:rRNA from 1 species